rnacentral:rRNA from 1 species
AACGUACGCUGGCGGCACGCCUAACACAUGCAAGUCGAACGAAGUAGCAAUACUUAGUGGCAGACGGGUGAGUAACAUGUAGGUAUCUGCCCUUUGGCCUGGAAUAACACGAGGAAACUUGUGCUAAUACCGGAUAAGUCUUUACGGAGAAAGCUUUAUGCACCAUUGGAUGAGCCUGCACUUGAUUAGUUUGUUGGUGGGGUAAUGGCCUACCAAGACUGUGAUCAAUAGCUGAUUUGAGAGGAUGAUCAGCCACAUUGGGACUGAGACACGGCCCAAACUCCUACGGGAGGCAGCAGUGGGGAAUCUUGCACAAUGGAGGAAACUCUGAUGCAGCGAUGCCGCGUGAGUGAAGAAGGCCCUUGGGUUGUAAAGCUCUUUCGUCGGGGAAGAAAAUGACUGUACCCGAAUAAGAAGGUCCGGCUAACUUCGUGCCAGCAGCCGCGGUAAUACGAAGGGACCUAGCGUAGUUCGGAAUUACUGGGCUUAAAGAGUUCGUAGGUGGUUGAAAAAGUUAGUGGUGAAAUCCCAGAGCUUAACUCUGGAACUGCCAUUAAAACUUUUCAGCUAGAGUAUGAUAGAGGAAAGCAGAAUUUCUAGUGUAGAGGUGAAAUUCGUAGAUAUUAGAAAGAAUACCAAUUGCGAAGGCAGCUUUCUGGAUCAUUACUGACACUGAGGAACGAAAGCAUGGGUAGCGAAGAGGAUUAGAUACCCUCGUAGUCCAUGCCGUAAACGAUGUGUGUUAGACGUUGGAAAUUUAUUUUCAGUGUCGCAGCGAAAGCGAUAAACACACCGCCCUGGGGAGUACGACCGCAAGGUUAAAACUCAAAUGAAUUGACGGGGACCCGCACAAGUAGUGGAGCAUGUGGUUUAAUUCGAAGAUACGCGCAGAACCUUACCAACACUUGACAUGUUCGUCGCGACUCUAAGAGAUUAAAAGUUUUCCGGUUCGGCCGGACGAA